AGCAGCCGCGGUAAUUCCAGCUCCAAUAGCGUAUAUUAAAGUUGUUGCAGUUAAAAAGCUCGUAGUUGAAUUUCGGGAUUAGUACGCUGGUCGUGCCUUCGGUACGUACUGGUGUUACUGAUUCCUACCUUCUGAAGAACCGUCAUGUCAUUAAUUUGAUGUGGCGGGGAAUCAGGACUGUUACUUUGAAAAAUUAGAGUGUUUAAAGCAGGCUCGCGCUUGAAUACAUUAGCAUGGAAUAAUGAAAUAGGACGUUCGAUCCUAUUUUGUUGGUUUCUAGGAUUGACGUAAUGAUUAAUAGGGAUAGUUGGGGGCAUUAGUAUUCAAUUGUCAGGGGUGAAAUUCUUGGAUUUAUUGAAGACUAACUACUGCGAAAGCAUUUGCCAAGGAUGUUUUCAUUAAUCAAGAACGAA
rnacentral:rRNA from 1 species